rnacentral:rRNA from 1 species
UGCAGUCGACGGCAGCGCGGGGCAACCUGGCGGCGAGUGGCGAACGGGUGAGUAAUAUAUCGGAACGUACCCUGGAGUGGGGGAUAACGUAGCGAAAGUUACGCUAAUACCGCAUACGAUCUAAGGAUGAAAGUGGGGGCUUCGCAAGAACCUCAUGCUCCUGGAGCGGCCGAUAUCUGAUUAGCUAGUUGGUGAGGUAAAGGCUCACCAAGGCUUCGAUCAGUAGCUGGUCUGAGAGGACGACCAGCCACACUGGAACUGAGACACGGUCCAGACUCCUACGGGAGGCAGCAGUGGGGAAUUUUGGACAAUGGGCGCAAGCCUGAUCCAGCAAUGCCGCGUGAGUGAAGAAGGCCUUCGGGUUGUAAAGCUCUUUUGUCAGGGAAGAAACGGUGAGGGCUAAUAUCCUUUGCUAAUGACGGUACCUGAAGAAUAAGCACCGGCUAACUACGUGCCAGCAGCCGCGGUAAUACGUAGGGUGCAAGCGUUAAUCGGAAUUACUGGGCGUAAAGCGUGCGCAGGCGGUUUUGUAAGUUUGUCGUGAAAGCCCCGGGCUCAACCUGGGAAUUGCGAUGAAGACUGCAAAGCUUGAAUCUGGCAGAGGGGGGUAGAAUUCCACGUGUAGCAGUGAAAUGCGUAGAGAUGUGGAGGAACACCGAUGGCGAAGGCAGCCCCUGGGUCAAGAUUGACCGCUCAUGCACGAAAGCGUGGGGGAGCAAACAGGAUUAGAUACCCUGGUAGUCCACGCCCUAAACGAUGUCUACUAGUUGUCGGGUUUUAUUACUGNUACGCAGCUACGCGUGAGUAGACGCUGGGGAGUACGUCGCAGAUAAACUCAGAUGGACGGUACCGCACAGCGUUGAUGAUGUGAUUAUCGAUGCACCGCGAAAACCUA